GGAGAUGGAAGGGGAGGUGGGGGUGGAAGUUGUUGCCUAGAAACCUGCUGACGGGGAGAAGCCUCCAGCAAAGAUGGAGCAGCAGUAGCACCAGGAGUGACAGGCGUAGCUGGAGGAGCCUCCACUUUUAUUUUUACUUCCUUUGGGUCAACAAACUCAGCCGCUAAAAGACGCCCACCAUUUGAAGGCCAUUGUAGGUUAUACACAGCAUUUCUAGUCUCUAUAGCUUCUUCAACAGAUGAGUA
rnacentral:misc_RNA from 1 species